AAACUGCUGAAGCAAAGUUGGUACUUUAAUGAAGUAGGAGCAGAGGACUUCAUAUUGACCAGAGGCUCGAUUAUCAGACGUGGGAUUGGGAUCACAGGCCAGCAGCAGCAGCCACGGAAAGUUUCCCAGUGAGGAUGGAGACGGAGCCGCUGAGGAAGUGGGGAGCCAUAUGGAGGAGAUCUGCUGAUUUUCCAAGUGUUCCAGAACCUGCUUAACUCAGACUGCAUCCUGUCUUGCUUUGGACUCACUAUCAAUAAUAUCCUCUGUGAGACUGUUAUCUGCAAUACAGAAAUCCAAUUCAUUCACUCAUUUUCUGCUAAAAAGUAUCACAAAAUUCCUUAAAUAAAAGAGUUUUUUCAUUUAUUUUGUUUAUCCUUACAAAGUGUAUCUUGAUGUGCAUGGUCUUUUAUAUCAGCAGUUUUGUUGCUACGUUUUGUAA
ensembl:lncRNA